GGGUGGUAUAGUGGUGAGUAUCCCCGCCUGUCACGCGGGAGACCGGGGUUCGAUUCCCCGACGGGGAGCCA
rnacentral:tRNA from 1 species